GAGAACAAGCUACACUGGCGU
rnacentral:snRNA from 1 species